UGUCGGCCUUCGGUCGGACGGCAUGUCCGGGCCUUUCUGCCUGGGGAUCCUACUCUACUUAACUGUAGGGUAGUGGGACGCAGGCCGUUUACUUUGAAAAAAUUAGAGUGUUCAAAGCAGGCCUACGCUUGAAUACAUUAGCAUGGAAUAAUGGAAUAGGACUUUGGUCUUAUUUGUUGGUUUAUGGGACCGAAGUAAUGAUUAACAGGGACAGUUGGGGCCGUUUAUAUUUCGUUGUCAGAGGUGAAAUUCUUGGAUUUACGAAAGAUAAACUUCUGCGAAAGCAUUCGGCAAGGAUGUUUUCAUUGAUCAAGAACGAAAGUUAGGGGAUCGAAGACGAUCAGAUACCGUCGUAGUCUUAACCAUAAACUAUGCCGACUAGGGAUCAGUGGAUGUCAAUUUGCGACUCCAUUGGCACCUUGUGAGAAAUCAAAGUUUUUGGGUUCCGGGGGGAGUAUGGUCGCAAGGCUGAAACUUAAAGGAAUUGACGGAAGGGCACCACCAGGAGUGGAGCCUGCGGCUUAAUUUGACUCAACACGGGGAAACUUACCAGGUCCAGACAUAGUAAGGAUUGACAGAUUGAAAGCUCUUUCUUGAUU
rnacentral:rRNA from 1 species